AUUUAAGUGAAACCAAUGAUAUACAAAUCCCUAAUCAGAAACUGCCUCUUUCCUUAUUACCAGUUGAUGAAACAAUCGAUUCAUCAAACAGUGACGAUCAAGAAUGCGUUGAAGAAAGUUAUUUACGAAAUAACAGUGACUCGCAAGAUGAAGAUGUAAUAACUUACAAUUUCAAUGAAAAGUUACGACAAUGGGCCAUUUCAUUUAAUAUCUCUCAUGUUGCCAUUACAGCAUUGUUAACGAUGUUACAUGUACUUAAAUUACCUAACCUACCAAAAUCAUCAAGAACACUUUUACAAACCCCCAGAGAAACAACAAUUGCGAAAAUGGGCAAUGGCCAUUAUUGGCAUAAUAUGGACUCGAAAAGGGAAUUGUUAACUUACUACCUAAGAUUGAUAGUGCAACUAAUUUAGAAUUAAGUUUCAAUAUUGAUGGGUUACCAAUAUACAACAGUACAAAAAUGGAAUUUUGGCCCAUUUUGUGUUUAAUAAACAAUAUGCGAAACUUGCAUCCAUUCGUAGUGGGCAUUUAUUGUGGUACCACCAAACCACCCAGUGUUCAGGGUUAUUUAACACCAUUUGUAGAAGAAAUAAAACCUCUUUUAAAGAAUGGGAUUUUCAUUAAUGGAAUAAAAUGCAGUUUAAAGGUGAGAUGCUUCAUUUGCGACACUCCAGCUCGUUCAUUUGCAAAAGGUGUUGUGAAUUUCAAUGCAUAUAACAGAUGCACAAGAUGUACGGUCAUUGGAGAAUACAAUCAUGAAUCUCAUCGUAUGAGUUUUCCGCGCAUUGAUUUGAACGUAAUUUGGCUCAAACACUUAAAUUAUGAUUAAAAACACUACUAUUAAUAAACAAAAACAACGCUUCGCUUAACACUCGCGAGUUCAGAACUAUUCGUCAUGUUACAGAUUAGCGCAGAUGGAUAUUUCGAUGCACGCAAUUUGGUAUGUUUCUAUAGACGGUAAAGGCAGGAGUUCGAAUCCGACCACCUCCAGAGAAUCGCUACUAAAAAAA